rnacentral:rRNA from 1 species
GACGAACGCUGGCGGCGUGCUUAACACAUGCAAGUCGAACGGUAAGGCCCUUCGGGGUACACGAGUGGCGAACGGGUAAGUAACACGUGGGUGAUCUGCCCUGCACUUCGGGAUGAGCCUGGGAAACUGGGUCUAAUACCGGAUAGGACUCCGGACUGCAUGGUCUGGGGUGGAAAGCUUUUGCGGUGUGGGAUGGGCCCGCGGCCUAUCAGCUUGUUGGUGGGGUGAUGGCCUACCAAGGCGACGACGGGUAGCCGGCCUGAGAGGGUGACCGGCCACACUGGGACUGGGAUACGGCCCAGACUCCUACGGGAGGCAGCAGUGGGGAAUAUUGCACAAUGGGCGCAAGCCUGAUGCAGCGACGCCGCGUGAGGGAUGACGGCCUUCGGGUUGUAAACCUCUUUCAGCACCGACGAAGCGCGAGUGACGGUAGGUGCAGAAGAAGGACCGGCCAACUACGUGCCAGCAGCCGCAGUAA